AUCUAUUGCCUGGCCAAUUGUGGGUUUCUGUGUUGCGUACCUAAGCGUUGGUAUUGUCUUGGUUGAUUACAGUUGAUUUCGUCUCGUGCCAUUUUUGUGGCAUCGGAUGAACCACAAAGCGGUCUCUUUGAUCCACAACAUUAUGCUUGCGUUGAUGUUGUGGCCCAUUGAGCGUUGCUUGGUAUCCUGGAUAUGGAAAACGAUGUGGGCAUGGGGUCUCAUGGGAUCCUUGUUUUGCCCUCAUUUAGCGUUUGUGCCUCUCUUAACAUGACUUGCUGUCUUGCCUGGUUUGGCCUUGCCAUCGGGAGGGUUUGUCAAAGUUAACAAUGCUUACUGUCUUGCCUGUUUGGCCCUGCCAUCGGGAGGGUUUGUCAAAGUUAACAAUGCUUACUGUCUUGCCUGAAACGGCUUUGCCAUCGGGAGGGUUUGUCAAAGUUAACAAUGCUUACUGUCUUGCCUGAAACGGCUUUGCCAUAGGGAGGGUUUGUCAAAGUUAACAAUGCAUACUGUCUUGCCUGAAUUGGCCUUGCCAUCAGGAGGGUUUGUCAAAGUUAACAAUGCUUACUGUCUUGCCU
rnacentral:misc_RNA from 1 species